UACGUAGGUGGCUAGCGUUGUCCGGAUUUACUGGGCGUAAAGAGCGCGCAGGCGGUCGUUCAAGUCGAGUGUGAAAGCCCCCGGCUCAACUGGGGAGGGUCACUCGAUACUGAUCGACUUGAAGGCGGGAGAGGGAAGCGGAAUUCCCGGUGUAGUGGUGAAAUGCGUAGAUAUCGGGAGGAACACCAGUGGCGAAGGCGGCUUUCUGGCCCGUUCUUGGACGCUGAGGCGCGAAAGCUAGGGUAGCAAACGGG
rnacentral:rRNA from 1 species